CUUUAGGCUAGAGUCUAAUUCAGGUCACGAGUCUUUAGGCUAGAGUCUAAUUCAGGUCACGAGUCUUUAGGCUAGAGUCUAAUUCAGGUCACGAGUCUUUAGGCUAGAGUCCAAUUCAGGUCACGAGUCUUUAGGCUAGAGUCUAAUUCAGGUCACGAGUCUUUAGGCUAGAGUCUAAUUCAGGUCACGAGUCUUUAGGCUAGAGUCUAAUUCAGGUCACGAGUCUUUAGGCUAGAGUCCAAGU